rnacentral:rRNA from 1 species
CUACGGGAGGCUCCAGUCGAGAAUCUUCGGCAAUGGACGAAAGUCUGACCGAGCGACGCCGCGUGCGGGAUGAAGGCCUUCGGGUUGUAAACCGCUGUCAGAGGGAAGGAAAUUUUGACCGAUCCUCAAAGGAAGUACGGGCUAAGUUCGUGCCAGCAGCCGCGGUAAGACGAACCGUACAAACGUUAUUCGGAAUCACUGGGCUUAAAGGGUGCGUAGGUGGUCUAUUAAGUUGGGUGUGAAAUCCCUCGGCUCAACCGAGGAACUGCGCUCAAUACUGGUAGACUUGAGGGAGAUAGAGGUGAGCGGAACUGAUGGUGGAGCGGUGAAAUGCGUUGAUAUCAUCGGGAACACCUGUGGCGAAAGCGGCUCACUGGAUCUCUUCUGACACUGAGGCACGAAAGCUAGGGGAGCGAACGGGAUUAGAUACCCGCGUAGUC